AAAGUCGUAACAAGGUUUCCGUAGGUGAACCUGCGGAAGGAUCAUUAAAGAGUUAGGGUCUUCUAGGCCCGACCUCCCAACCCUGUGUUUAACAAACCAUUUGUUGCUUCGGCGAGCCCGUCUUUAUUGACCGCCGGAGGACCGUCGAGAGACGCCCUCUGGCCAGUGCCCGCCGAUGGCCAACUAUACCUAAACUCUGAAUAAACAUGCCUAUGUCUAAGUAAUUUAUUAAAUAAAUUAAAACUUUCAACAACGGAUCUCUUGGUUCUG
rnacentral:misc_RNA from 1 species